rnacentral:rRNA from 1 species
UAUGAGGGCGGGCUGGACCUCUCGGGGUUACAGCCUUGCUGAAUUAUUCACCCUUGUCUUUUGCGUACUUCUUGUUUCCUUGGUGGGUUCGCCCACCACUAGGACAAACAUAAACCUUUUGUAAUUGCAAUCAGCGUCAGUAACAAAUUAAUAAUUACAACUUUCAACAACGGAUCUCUUGGUUCUGGCAUCGAUGAAGAACGCAGCGAAAUGCGAUAAGUAGUGUGAAUUGCAGAAUUCAGUGAAUCAUCGAAUCUUUGAACGCACAUUGCGCCCUUUGGUAUUCCAAAGGGCAUGCCUGUUCGAGCGUCAUUUGUACCCUCAAGCUUUGCUUGGUGUUGGGCGUCUUGUCUCUAGCUUUGCUGGAGACUCGCCUUAAAGUAAUUGGCAGCCGGCCUACUGGUUUCGGAGCGCAGCACAAGUCGCACUCUCUAUCAGCAAAGGUCUAGCAUCCAUUAAGCCUUUUUUUCAACUUUUGACCUCGGAUCAGGUAGGGAUACCCGCUGAACUUAAGCAUAUCAAUAAGCC